CAAUAAUCAAUGAUGCAUAAUUAUUCAUCAUUAAUUAUUAAUCAUGAUUUAUGAAGCCAAAACUGGGAACCUCUUGUGGCCUAUGAAAGCUUGCCUAAGAUCAUUGUAACCAUUCCUGUAAUGUUCAAGUGAGAAGCAUAAUUGUCUUAUUGCUUCUCUUUUCUCUUCACCCCCUUCAAUUAUUUCAGCUUUCAACCUUUCAUUCUCUUCCACCAUCAUCUUAAUUUCAACAUCCUUUGAAACCACCAAUUCUUUUAAGGCACAAAUUUCACCAUUCAGUUCCUCUAUGUUCCUUUCUCUCCCCUUGAUUUCUCCAUUCAAUAACUCCAUCUCGCAUUCCAUCUUCUUAAUUUCUUCCUCCAACUGAAUCUGUUCAUCCAAAACCCUUCUCAACUCCGAUUCCAAUUGCAAUUUCUCCGCCAUCUUUUCUUUCAGCUUCACGCGCUCUCUUUUCUCGGAGUUGAAUUUCACUUUCCAAAACUCGGAUUCCUUAGUGGCUACGCUAAUCUGAUCCUUCAACAAUGAAAUUUGCAGUGUCGGUGAUAAUGAUUCAGUAACAUUAUUGUUAUUAUUAUGCAAAUUAUUCAUCAAUUCCAUAGAUCUAUAUUUCUCAAGCUCAACCUUGAGCUUGUAAAUUUCUUCCUCAUAAACCCUAAAUCUCUCAUUCACAUUCCUCAAUUCAUGUUCAUCCCGAGGAAAAUCCAUUUCCACUUCCAAGAUCCUCCUAUUCAUACCGCUAUCACUGCCACUACCACUGUAGAAUCCAGAAUUAAAACUCUGGACAGAAGAAUUAUCCGAAGAUUCAUCGUCGGAAUCCGUCAGAGUCGAAGAUCCGUCUCCAUCUUUGUGAAUUGCAUCGUAGAAACAGUUGUUGUUAUUCACAGCAUUGGAAGAACCAAGGAAGAAAUCAAACCCUGGGGCUCUGUAGCUGGAACCGCGGCGAGGAUUCAUUGAUGCGUGUGAUUCAGAACCGUUAUCUGAAUGACAUGAUUGAACAUCAUGAUCGUAGCGUUCUGCUAACGAUUUGUAUCCUCGAUAGAAUUCUUCAACAAGUGCAAUCAACUCUGGCCUUUUCUGGUAAUACAUCUCAGCCUUUUGAGCAAAUGAAUCUCCACCAUCUUCAAUUAGCUGCAGCAUUCGCUUCACAUUGUGUUCCAUCUCCGAGACAAAACUGAACCAAGGAGAAAUGCAAAUCUGAGCCCCUUUGAGAGUUGGAGGAGCGCAUACUUCUGUAUUAUGAAUAAUCAUUCAGAAGCUUGCGCUCAACAUAACACGUUGACAUUCAACGGUACAGUAUUUGUGAACCAAAAUGAAAUCGUUGACUACUGUAUUGGUGGAUGUGCUCAACACACCCUUGACGUCAUCAGAUGCGUCCGUGACGUCAAGCCUCAUGGCUUCACAUUUGAGACCGGUGCUUCCCUCUCCUUCGUUCAAAACGCCAUUCAAACUGCUUGCAAUCAACAUACAGCUUUGAAUACAUCUUACACUAAACCCAACGGUGCCACAAGUUUGUAUGGGAGAUUAUACAUGCCACUUGUUUCAGCACUAACAACAUUGGCCUUCAUUUCCACCUUCAAUAUGUGAUACUCUUUUCAAAGCCAUAUCUAGAGUGGAGUAAAAGGGGCAGAAUAUGAAAUGCAAAGAAGCUAGGUAAAAAAAUAAAAUAAAAUAAGCUUCCACGUAGAUAUUGCAGGGUGCCAAGAGUCUUGAUUAAUGUUAUUCUAUAAAUAUAGAAAUGAAUAAGCAGUUUCAUUUUUAUUUUUCCUUUUCCUAUUACCAGUAUAUAGGGUAUAUAAUUUCUGUAGCCUAUAUA